rnacentral:lncRNA from 1 species
UCCUCUGUUUUAAGACAGAUUCACAAUAUAGCCCAGGCUCUCAGAUUGUCACUUCUCUCUCAGCUCAGGCCCUUCCCCUUCUGCACUGCUUAGGCUCUGUCUCGGUAACCUCGGACAUUGUGUAUAUUAGAGUCUUAACCUUCAUAGCCAGGGACAGCCUGUGUAGGUUGUGCUUUGCCUUUUGUUUAUAGUGCUGUCCAAAACUUGUAAUGUCUUUUUAAAGUACCUUUUCUUUGUAUUACAGGCAGAUAAGUUGUUGUCACAGGACUUUGUGCAGAUAAUGGAGGAUAUUAUUCUCACACUACCUAAAAAUAGGCAGAUUUUACUAUAUUCCGCUACUUUCCCUCUUAGUGUACAAAAGUUUAUGGUAAGUAUUAAAUCACUACUUGGAAUUAGUGUUAUCAUGGUACUAUGUCAUGUUAUUUUUACCUGUCAUGCUAUUAUCAGAGUAGAUGUGCUUUGUUAUUUCAGGGUUUUGGUUUUGUUUGUUUUUUAAAUAUGAUCAGUGAAGAUUUGUGGAUUUAUUAUUAUGUUGUUGUUUUAUUUUUGAGGCAGGGUUUCACUCUGUAGCCCUGACCAGUAGGUUAGCUUCAAACUCACAGAGGUCUCCUGAUUCUGCC